rnacentral:lncRNA from 1 species
UUUUUUUUUCAGUACUAAACCAACAUGGGUUUAUUCCACUAAGUAUGUAGCAUGCAUUUUAUCUUCAAGUAUUUAAGUUAGCCUUACUAAACUCUACUCCAACGGUAUCUGUAUAAUGAUGAAUAGCAUGGUUUGAAUAAAGUUCGAUGAUCUAAAUAAACAUAACUGGUUAUGACAAUAGAACAAGAACAUGAGUGGAAGUUUAGUAUUGAGGUGCCAUUAGGCAUAUAUGCUUUCAGGUUCCAGACCUUCAAAAAGGUGUCCAUGAAUCACCUUCUGAAACUAGUAAACUUCAAGUAUGCAUUUAUGCGACUUUCCAUUUCAGCUAAUUCUGUAAAAACAACUCUGCUAUCAAUUAAAGAAAUGUAUUCACUGUUCAAACAUUUGAAUAACCAUUGCUUACUAUUGAACAAACCUUAAUACUAUCCAAAUAUAUAUAUAUGCAAUGAUAUCAACAGCACCGCAUGUUCUGCCCUCAAUAAUCAUUCUAGAAGUUUUUCAGUCGCAGGAACUGUCGUGAAUGCUCAGAAAGUACAGGUGAAACAUGAGAUCUGGUAACAUGAAGUACAUACCUUUGUACGCUCCUCCUCCAUAAGUUCAAAAUUUCUCCUAAUGCUACCAGGAAUAUUUGGUUUUGUAACACGAACACUGAUGAUUUCAAUUCCAGGAGCAUAGCGUGUGCAGUCUCUUUGAAUAGCUUCUUUCAUUGUUUCAUCAAUCUGAAAUUUUAGCAGAAGACAGGGAUGAAACAUAAAUGUGAGUAUUAGGUUUUCCACAUCGCAUAGCUGCAGAGGUACUCAAAAGUUGUUUCACUGAAACAAAUAACCAACCUGAUCAAACAUGUCAAUGUAAACUUGCUGCAAACUGUGAGCACUGCAGAACUGGUUUAUCUCAUGAUGAAUUUUAUCAUAUAUCCAUGUCUUGUCAUAGUGCACACCAUAAUUGAGUAGGGUUUCAUGCACAAACUCCUUACGGAGGCGGUUCACAACCUGCAUGCACAACAGUCAGUGCCAAGCAGUUCAGAAACAGGCAGAUGGUCUUUGUCAAAAGGAGUUAUAAUAAAAAGAAGAGCAACACUAUACCUCUAUCUUGUCAAAGCUGAUCAUAACACCACCUUUUGUUCCACAGGGAAUAUCUCUGACCUGGUUUAUCACAAUGAACAGCAUAAAUACAUUUCUACCAUAUAAUCGUAUGUUUAGCAAAGUGAGUUCUUUUUCAUGCGUUUAUCUUUUUUAUAUAUAUUUCUUUGUACAGUUUUGGUCCGUCUGGACCCUCCUCCUUUUUAAUAUAACAGGCAGCUCUUCUGCCAGUUUGUUUCAAAAAAAAAUCUGAAAUAUAAUACAGUAAAAUUUCAAUUUAUAUGUUAAAAAAUAAAAGGUGCAAUCCAAAUAAGGAGAUAAGAGUUUUUUGUUUGAGGGAAGUAAACAGAUACCAUUUGCAGGUGAACUGAACUACAGUUUUAGUGGAAACAUAGGUUGAGAGAACAAGGGCAAAGAGUAUUCACUUGCCUGGUCUGUUUGAAGUGUAACUUGUAUUGGCUCAUACUGGGUGAUCCAAGGGAGUUUCAGAUGAAACCCUACAAAGCAGAUUAAAAAGCUAAUGAAAAUGCAUUCAAACAGAAAAAACAAAGAAGGAACAUUACAACAAAAAAGCACCUGGAGGAGUGAUUGUCUUCAGAAGAGCACCUCCUCUCCAGUAUACCCCAACAUGUCCUUCAGGAACUUGAUGCAGAACGCUUGAUGGAACUGAGAGUGAAAUCUGCAUAUUUACCAAAAUACAAGUUUAACACCAAAGAGUUCAACGGUAUAUUUGUAUGGUCGUAUUGCAUUGCCUCAAUUAGAGAAAGAAACGUAUCCACUGUACACUGGCAUAUUAACCUUCCGUCAGAGUUUUGAGGGGGCAGUAAAGCUAAUAAACUUCUUGUCUGGGCAAUGCAAGUCACUGGAUGAAAAUACACAUAUAUAAAUAUGAUGCUCAAGAAAACAUUUUGAACCAAGAGUAUGUCUAUGUAAAGCCAGUAAAAGACCAUAAUGCAGCUGACGGCCUCAAGGUCAGUGCAGUUAAUGUUAAUCAAACACAUGUAAACUUUAGAUUGCAACCUAGUUCUAAUAAAUUGAUCUCCAAGCACUAAUGCACUUAAUAGAUCCUUUGAUAUUGUUUAACAAGAACAACAAAUACUUGGGUGAUGACUGUUCUACAACUCCAUUAUACCAUAAGGAAAACGGGGUGCCAAUUGAAAGUGUUAUAUUCCCUCAGUGACUCCUAAUAGGUCAAAUGAACAUUGUAAGCUGUACACACAUACUAUCUUUAUAUUCUUUUUCAAUAAAAUUGAUACUUGAUGUUCAAUUUUGAUUCAGCUCGGUUUUGUUUUCUAUGCGCUUCUCAGAAAAAAAAGGGUACAUGUUACUUCUUCGGGCUACUAUUUAUUCGUACAGUCUCCACUUAGUAUGGUUUCUUUCCUUACUACACGUCAUGACAAAUUUUCUCUGCUUCAACUAAAACUCAAGGAUAGUUUAUCAAUUAAACCAAAGUCUCACGCUAAACUCUGUUGCCACCCUUUAUACUCCUUCAAUAUAAUUCACUUAACAUAUCAGACACUAUAUUGCAGUAACUUCGAGCCUUAAACUAAGAAUACUACAUGGUAACCAUUUUUGUGUAAAUCGCACUAGACUGGUGCAGACAAGCAAAGCACUUGAUCAGUGAUUAGACAAGCCAAGGCAUGUGAAACUUAGUGCCUAGAAAGGACAGCUGCCUUGGACAACAUUGUUUAAGAUUGAUGUAAAAACUUAACCUACAAAAAGAUUGAAAUUCUCAAAAAUCCACACCAAGUCAAUGUUCAUCCAUUUCUUUCAUAAUUUUUUUAAAAAGGACAUUUUACCCCUCGAUACCAACUUUGCUAUUUCACUAGCUUCCAUUCACCUCUGUUUAAUGAAAAAAAUAAAGCUCAUUAAUAGGUCACGUUUCCCUUCCCAGUAAGAGGGUUUUGCAUAAGCUAUCUCCUAGUACCCCUCAAAUAUGUUCACAUAUAGAAAAGGGGAUAAAGUGCUUAGGUAUAUGUGAUCUGGAGAAGUAUUUUAAAAUUAAAAAACUAGGGUAUUUCAAAAGGUUAACUUCAUUAUUAAAUAUUUUGUGAAAAAAUUGGGAAUAUAAAGAAUCCUAAAGUACUAAAGCUGUUUUUAUUGGGGCCUAGUGAAACUAAAUAGAAUCAGAUAAAAGGAGCACCCCCAUAGGAGCGAUAAUAAGCUAUACAAAAAUGCAUCCCCCUGAACAACUAUGGAAACAUAAAAGGCACAGAAAUCAACUGUUUUGGCAAACGGAAUGCGUUGUUGAUACUAAGUCAGAGGGUGUCAAUCAUUGAUUCAAAUCAAGCAUACAUAAUGUCAUCAUCAACAUGCCCACAAGACCAACAGAAUCAACAAUCGCAUCCCCAAUGCGCCAAACCUAAACUGCAGUAGGCAACAAACUACCAUCAAAGAUGUUAAACCGCUUUUCGUUUUUUCUUCAAACGUCAUCCAGUCCUAUGGUUGUAUAUUUCAGUUGUCAUUGCACACAAAAAAGUGCAAGUAAUGCUGUAAUGAGGAAAAAUCAACAAGAGUAUAGAUGAGCGCGACAAACAAAACCAUGUGAGAGAAUACUGAAAUAUACGAUGAAAAUGGCGAACAGGCCCAUAUACAGUCAAUAGUUGCAAACGGUUGCAUAAAAGAUACCCCACCAAGACUGAAUUGAUGCAAUAUGGAACUAAGAGUGUGUUGGUGCUAAACAAGUGGACAUCAGGAGCAGCAAGCAGUAUCUAAAAUCCCACUUCCCCUAAAAAUGUUGCAAGUUACUUAGAAGGCACAAGCAUCAAACUCGUUGUAUGCAAUGGACAACUGAGACCAAUCUGGUCAUAUCACUUUCCCAGUCAAUUCGGGCAUAUGCAGUUAUGCACCACCAAUCCAAAAUGCAAUUACCUAUACAUCCAUACGGGACCUCAACCAAAUCAGCACCCAUAAUCCCCAACGCACGAAACCUAAACCCCAAGCCCCCAACGACAAGCAACGACCUAACGUUAACGCCCAAGGCCCCUCUUCAGGAUCCACGCCACAGCCCACCGAUCGACCCCCAGGACCAGCCGAUCAGGAACGCGCGCGCGAUUGAACAUCUACCUACUCGCGAUCGGGCGAAACAAAAUGGAAAAUGGUGGGAUUGGGGAGGGCGGGGAGGUCAAAGGUCACCACUCACCAGCACGAAGCAGAUGCCGAUGAAGGCGACGAUGCCGAAGGCGAAGGGGUCGGCGCCCGGCGGGGGCGGCUGGCGCCCGCUCGGCUGCUGCUGGAAGCGCGGCAUCGACGGCGACGGCGACGGCGGGGGCGGCGAGCGGCGGCUCUGCGCCGAGUCGGCGGUCACGUCGGACAUCGCGAGCGGGCCGCUGGGAGCCUAGGGGAGGUUGAGUUAGGGUUUCGACCGGCUUGGGAGUGGGUACGAACGGCGAGGAAGACGACGAACGCGAGGCACUGCCGUGGCUUGCGAGUUGGGUUUGGGUCAAGUCUCAAAUCUGAAGUUUCUCAGACCUUUCCUUUUCUUCCUUGUGGCUUUUGUGAUUUCUGGGAAUCUGCUUGCCUCGGAGACUUGGACGGUUGGACCCUUCAUGGAAAAGACUCCUGCUAGCAGCAAGGUUGUAGUUAUAAAUUGAAAAAAGUCUAAAUUACUCCCCUCAAAUAUAACCAAAAUCUGGAUAACCCUCUUAGUUCAGUUUACUCACUAAACUAUAUCAUUUGGUUCAAUUUACCUCUUAACACAAUUUGUCUUUUUUGUUUCUCCAUGCAUAAAUGGAGUUUCAAGUUCAAAUUUUGCAAGAUAGUAUCAGACAACAUAAGACAUGUUAAAAAAUAUAUCAUCAAUUUUUCAUCACUAUUUUGAUAGGGUAGGAUAUUUAAUAAUUUUCAUCACUAUUUUGAUAGGGUAGGAUAUUUAAUAAUAAAAUUAAUCGUUGAGAUACAAAAUUAUAUAAAACUAAUGAUGAAAAAUUCAUAAAAUAUUUUUUAAUAUAUCUAUAUAAACUUAAAAAAAGUCAUUAAUGGUUCAUGAUUCUGUCCACAAUUCAUGAAUUUUGUCAGAAUUUUGGUCCAUGUGGGCUCAAACUUUGCUACUUUUGACCUAUAUGCCUGGCUUUGCCAAGAUAAGAGUCCAUAACAUGUUACUGCAAUUGUGCUAGCAAACUCCAGUACUUCACUACCUUUUAUCUGCUUAUGUGUGUAUAUCUUCACAAAAUUACAAAGCAUCAUUUCUAACUGACACAAUUUGUCCUCUGUUUAAGUGCAAGGGUCUUAUAUUGGUAAUUGUACUGUAAAUUUUCAUCUUAAUUACAGAUAUAUGUUGUUGGUAAGUGAUUUGAAAUUACUCAUCAGUUCGAUGGAGCAAUGUAAUAUUUACAAUUGCACUUUUCAGGCUUUCACAGCAGUGCGAUUUCUUUUAUUGAUAUCUCCGUCUGAAAUUUUAUCUCACUGAUUAGCGAUAAAAAGUUGAUAAGUGAUUCUUAUAUAUAUACUGCUUUCAAGAAUCAAGACCCCAGUCAAGCACGCAGGUGAGCCCAUCAAUCUAGCUUUUGAGACAUCUUUUGUGGUGUCUGUGUUUCCUGUUGGCAGGUAGGAUAAGUGAUUUGAAAUUACUCAUUAAGAGAGUGCUUGAGGGAGGAUAGGACUUGGGAGAGAGUGCUUGAUGUGUGCGUUCGGAGAGGGCGACAUCGACGGAGGAGACUGCGGUGAUGUCGAGUACGAGGGCGCGCGCGCCGAGCAACCCCGCGCUGGCCACGCCAGAGGGGAGCCAGUGUAGGAUGGGUCAGGCGCAUGUCACACCCGCGCCCAACGUGUUCGACGGAUUGCCUCGGCGAGCCUAGCUGGCCGCCUCGUCGCUUCCCCUCCUCCUGGGCCCUGUUGCGCCGCACGCGGGGGACAAUGACCGGGCUCGUGGGCACGCCCUGAUGGUAGGAAGGGCGCGGUUGCCGGUGGCCCCAUCGACCUGACUAUCGAGGUGGCGGGUGGAGCUCAAUUGGCCAACGCGUGGAAGUCUGCUGGCGCGGAUGGGCAGCUCAAGGGGCCGAGUGUUGGUAACUAUUAUCUGCAAACUGGAUGGUAGAAAUAUGAGCUUUUUGAGAAAACUUUACAUGACAGAAUUAAGGGAAACAAGAGGAAGCUUCAAUUUGCUUUGCUUUCAUUUUUCAUGUUUAGAGUUAUUUGUGCAGUUUUCAUCGGGUCAUACCCUCAUUUUGUUAUGCGAGAAGUUUGUUUUGCUGGGAAUUAUAAAAGCUUGUCAUUAUUUCUCUCGUUGAAAUGGCCACUCAGCCUGCGAUCCACUACCUCAUUGCUAGAAGAUGAUUGCUCUCCGUCCAACAUCUGAGCAAGCAUGCCUACAAGCUCCCUGAGCACCUUAUGCACCUCUUCAUCGGCUUCUACAGUCAGGUCCAGAACCUGUCGUCCCAGAACUAGCUCAAGAAGCACAACUCCAUAACUGUAAACAUCAACCUUUGCCGUGAUCUGCAGGCUGCUGAUCCACUCUGGAGCCAUGUAACCUACGGUUCCUUGUACCCGCGAUAUGUUCUCUCGUCCUAAUGUGAUGCACAAAAAAGAGUUUAACCGAGACACAACAAAUGUUACGAAAUAGAAAAAGAAAUUUACGAAAUGUUACUGUGCAAAUUCGUCGUUUCGGCCCGGCAGCAAAAGACGGCCCACAGCCCGUCUUGUGCUCGCGCGGCUCGUGCUAGGCUCCGGCACAAAUGGCCGAAAGCCGGUCUGUGUUUUGGCGACGCGGCCCACGGAGACAAUGCGGCCCGUCAAAAACGGCCGGCCCGACGGCUCGACUCGCUCGCAGGCCUCAACCUGGUACUGGGCCGCCGAAUCGGCCUGCCGCCGCUGCCCGCCUGGGCCAAAUCUGGCCCGGACAAUCGCGGCCGUCCGUCGCGAUGGACGGUCCUCCGGGCGUCUCUCCGGAACAAAAACCCGGCGCACCGGUACAUCCGCAAAACCCUAGGGCCAUUUCUCUUCCUCUCCCCCGCGUGGUCUCGCCGUGGCGGGGCCGUCUCUCCCGCUUGCGGCGAGGCCCGCCGGCGGCGGUUGAGAGGCGCACGGCCGCGGCAGCCCCCCCUCCCCCAUCUCUUUCUUUCUUUCCCCUCCCCCUCUCCCUCCGAGCCUCCUCGAGAUCCAGAGACUUGGCCGCGGAGGAGGGCCGGCGCCACCGCGGGUCCCCUCGCCGGCGCGCGCGUCCACCCGAGGGUGAGCGCGCCGCCGUCGAGCGGUCCUGUGGUGGUGCUAUUGCGCCCGCGCGCGGCGGUCGCACUGUUCGGCGAGGACGGCCCCAGGUAAGCCUCUCCGCGUCCCUCUUUUCUUUUUCUUUUUCUUUUUCGAUUUUUCAUCGAUUCGCUUUCUGUUCUUCCCGAUCUGUUAGACGAAAAUCUAGAACCUCUGAGCUGGGGAACGAAGGCGGUGGGCCCGGCUGGGCUGGCAUACGCCGAUCGAUACCGUCUACCGACAUACGUACGGUGGUUAUAAAUCCAAGGGGUACGGAGGGCCGUCCCUCCCCUCGCAUAACGCCGUUUGCUUUGCGUCAGAAAGCUCCCGCGAUUCGGCACACGGCAACGGUUCGGGCGCUCCGUCUCCUUCUCUCUUCCGUUAAAGUUUCCGCCUUUUGUUUCUUUCCUCGUUAGUCUCCGUUUAGUUCUAGUUAAUCUUCCCCGUUUACUAUAUUCUGCUAGUUUAAUCUCUUGUUAGUUUUCGCUUCCGUCUAGCUAGUCUUCAUCUUUCUUAUCUAGCUUUUUCGCAUCUAUUAAUUUUUCUCAUCUGCUAAUUUACAUUGCAAGUUAUUUUCUCAUCUAUUAUCCAUUGUCGAUCUAGUUAUCACCUUGCGCUAAUUAAAUUCUGUGUUCUUUAUCUCAUCUACUACUUGUUGUUAGUCUUCGUCACCUGUUAAUUUGUCUCGUCUAGUUUACAUUGCAACUUAAUCUCGGUUUAGCUUAUAGUCUAUUCAAGAAAAUUUCUUGCCUAGUUUCUACAUUUCGUUCAUUUCCCUUUCGUAUUGCUCUGUUUUUGUUUUCCGUUUCCGUGCACACGCGCAGCUUGCCGUUGAUGGCUGACGCUUGCACGCUGACCCCGGCGGCUGCUCUGCCGCCGUUGCUCCCAACCCCCCGCUUUUUUGCUACUGUUGCAGGCCGUGCGAGCGAGGGAUCGGCUUGGGCCGGCAACAAGAAGCCCGGUCGCGCGUCGGCGAGCGAGAGCUGGACCAAAGAUAAGCUACUCGCCCGUACCACCGCCUCGUCGAGCGUUCCAAGCCGCGCGUCCCUGAGCCAGGAUUGGACAAAGGACAAGGCCCAGCGGAAGGAGGAGACCGAGCGUGUGGGGCGAUCCUCGUCGAGGGAGGAUCCGGUCGGGCCCAAGAAGAGGACCUUGAGCCGAGCGCCGUCGGUGGAGGUCGAUCGGAGCGAGAAGAAGGCGAAGCCCGAGGAUGCAGUAGAGCCGGUGACGGUGCAGUACUACGCUGGCCCGGCGUUCCUGAAGUCGCCGGACCCGAGCGAGGUGCCACUCCCGACUAUGUUCCUGAAGCGGAAGACACCCAAGGCAGCUGAUGACAGGAAGUGAAGAAUCGCCAAGGUUCCUGAAGCGGAAGACACCCAAGGCAGCUGAUGACAGAAAGUGAAGAAUCGCCGUUCACGAGAUAACAAUGUUGUGGAUAACAGAUUAACAUUCGAAGAGAGUUAUUAUAAUUAAUCUAGUUUGCUCAGCUUCAUAGUACUCCUAUUUUAUGAUUUAUCAAGUUUUAUGAUAGAGUAGUGGAGUACCAGUAGUUAUGUAAUAAAUGCUAUACAAUCGAUUAAUACGAAGUCAGUUGUGCGUGUCUGUGUGUUUUCCAUUCUUUCUGUCAGUAAUAGCAAUGGAAACGAACGUGUAGUGGAAGGCCGUCUUGGUCUCCAUCCAAUGCGCAUCGUCUUCGCCUGCGGUCGCCAAUGUGCCAUGGCGCGGCGAUGCAGACUCACGCUCGCGCAUUGCGCCACGGCACACAAAUCGUAGCCCGGCGUGCACGCCGGCGGUCCGGGAUGCACGUGCACGGGCGCGCGCUGCUGAGAGGGAGCACGACGCCUCGCGCUGCGUGGGGGUGGUGGCGGGAGGAGUAGCAAGCGGGGACGGUCGCCAACCAGGCAACCAGCUCCGUACCUCGUCCCCUCGCCCGCCCCGCACGAGAGACUGGAGCGUGCGAGCCAAGGGCAUGUCACGCCCGCCCUCAACGUGUUCGACGGAUUGCCUCGUGGCGCCUGGAAGAGUGCUUGAGGGAGGAUGGGACUCGGGAGAGAAGAUGUUAGGCAUAUGGAUUACGUGUGGUGGUAAGACAUUUUUCUUCAAAACACCGAAAAAUAAAGCUGUUUAAUUAGGUUAUUGGUCAUUUGGUUUUGAAUUUGACAGAUGUACAUGGAAAUUAUGUUCGAUUUAUUCUUGCUUUCCUUCCCACAUUGCAUAGGUGGCCAUUCUACAGCCUUCCAGGACUCUACUAUCAAAUCUUAAGUAACCAAAUCUGCUAACAAUCUUAUCUAAUCAAGACUUGGACCUGAAGGCAACUAGGGAUAAGGAGCACUAUGGAUCCUGUCGUGCAGCAUCAACUGGCUUGGACACAUCUAGCUUCGAUGAUGGCUCUUUGUGCCAUGAGCACCCAGCUGAUCCAAGGCCUUGACCAUAACAAAAAUGCUAUCCUGUACAUACUACAAAUAUAUGGGAGUGCCCAGCCCAACUUAGUGUUCCAAUGCUCUUUCUUUGAAUCCGAUCUUAGCUAUCAAUACAUCAUUCCAGUCAAUGAAAAUUUAUCCUCAGAUUGGUAAGGACAAGUGAUCUUAGCUAUCAAUACAUCAUUCCAGUCAAUGAAAAAUUAUCCUCAGAUUGGUAAGGACAAGUGUUGGACUGUGCAUAGCCUUUUAAUUGCAAGCAGUUACAUGCUUAUUAUCUAUAUAAACUUUAAAAAAAGUCAGGAAUGGUUCAUGAUUCUAUCCACAAUUCAUGAAUUUUGUCAGAACUUUUGGUCCGUGUGGGCUCAGACUUUGCUACUUUUGACCUAUAUGCCUGGCUUUGCCAAGAUAAGAGUCCAUAACAUGUUAUUGCAAUUGUGCUAGCAAACUCCAGUACUUCACUACCUUUUAUGUGCUUAUGUGUGUAUAUCAUCACAAAAUUACAAAGCAUCAUUUCUAACUGACACAAUUUGUCCUCUGUUUAAGUGCAAGGGUCUUAUAUUGGUAACUGUACUGUAAAUUUUCAUCUUAAUUACAGAUAUAUGUUGUUGGUAAGUGAUUUGAAAUUACUCAUCAGUUCGAUGGAGCAAUGUAAUGUUUACAAUUGCACUUUUCAGGCUUUCACAGCGGUGUGAUUUCUUUUAUUGAUAUCCCCGUCUCAAUUUUUAUCUCACUGAUCAGCGAUAAAGAGUUGAUAAGUGAUUCUUAUAUGUAUCCUGCUUUCAAGAAUCAAGACGCCAGUCACGCACGCAGGUGAGCCCAUCAAUCUAGCUUUUGUUUACAAACAUCUUUUGUGGUGUCUGUGUUUCAUGUUGGCAGGUAGGGCAGCCAAUCACGAAAUGUAUGUCCUUUCUCAAAAUAUGGGUGAAAUGGGUUCUACUGACCUACCUUUUCCAUCCAUAUUAGUCAGCUCUCUGUAACAUCCGUAAAAUUUACCAACCUAAAACCCUUGCUAAAAAUUUGUUUUCAAAAUCUUUUUACCGUUGAGCUCCCGAAAAUCAAAUCUUCCCAGCGAUUUCGCCGUCCCGGUGCCCAAAGCCGACAACUAUCAUUUUUAUCCUCUCCGUAAAUUUCGCCGCGUGCCGGUCGACAAACCACCGCGCGUGCUGCGACCGCAUUCCGCAAUCUCCGCCAUCCACUCUUUCUUUUUCCUCUCUGCAAGUCACGCCACGUGCCGGUCAGAAGAUCGCCACGGCCGCUCCCGCAAAAUCCAUUGUAUCCCUCUCUACCUCUUUAACCUGUCAAAUCGAUUAAAUUCUACCUUUUUCUCCGGACCAAAUGUGUUCUGUGGAUGCGUUGAGGGAGAGCAAUCGGACCAAAUGUUAAAAGAGGCUGCCAAUUCCAUGGUCCGAGCGCGAUCGAGCCUGUGGUGGAGCUUUGGGCCAGGCCCAUUGAAGAAAUGGGCCAGCGGCACUGCAGGUGUUUACAAGCAGUCGCAUGCACAUGGGCCUGAUGAUCGUAAAGGGAGCGGAGCCGCGUUUAGGUAUGAGGAAAGCGCCGUGCCAGCAUGGCUCUAGGUUGGGAGGAAACGAGACGAGCACCGGCCGCAUUGGACGCGGCUAGACGAGAUCGAGGCACCGAGGACGCCAGGCAGCUUCCGCUGAACCACCCACCGACACUGCAGCUGCAGGUCGGUUCAUCGCAUCACGGAUUUUCCACGAUCGUCCUCUGCACUGCACGAGCCGCACCAUGCAAGACAUGAUUUUGAGUUUUGAUGGGGAGUUUUGAGUUUUGACUGCUGCAGCUAGACUAAUCGUACCUUGUGGGUUCAGCUCCUUGGGGGCAAAAAAAAAAAAGAACUUCAUGGAAUUCAGCAUGUAGAUAGUCGUGUGUGCAGAUGUAUACAAGUCCAGCCUAUCUUUAUUGUUAUUUGCAUCACACAAUGAAGCUUCAUGCUGAAUUUUAAAUCACGUCUCAAAUGUAGCCGCCAUGCAUGCAAGACUGGAACAGGAAAAAAAAAAGGGAAACAAUUUCCUAAUGUGUUGGGUCGCCCAAUCCACAUGGCCACCAGAUUCAGAGGCCCAAGAUUCUCUCCUCUGUGGAGAGCAUACUAUACGGCGAGACAAGCAACCACCACCAACAAAGGAAUAGAGAGAUCGAUGACACAAGGAGACCUAAAGAUCGUCCAAGCACCAUCCUCAUCCUAGCUAAUCUUCAAGUAAAACCAUUGGCUUCUUCUACAUUUAAUUACAAGCAAACCAUAAAACAAAGGGGACGAAGCAGAAAAGGCUAGCAACAACUCUUGUACAGUAGCAAUAACCAAUGGAAGGAACAAGAAACACAGUGGUCCUUGCAGGACAGAGACAGCCAUCCCACCACCAAAUAAACCAUACGCCAGCACCAGCAGCGCACUGAAAAGGCGCCAAAAACACACCCCAACCACCGAUGCCACUAGGAAGGCACGAACAAGAACAACAAGCAGUCACGGGGGGUAGUGGGCUAGUAGUACUUAGUGGUGAAACUGGAGCCGUCCAACCAAUUCACAAAUCGAUUCCAUUUCCUUGCAUUGAUAGUUCAGAGAACUACUGGACAAAAGGAACUAUGCUGAAAACAAAGCGGAUGAAGGGGGAAGAGCUAGUGCAGAGCGAGGAAGGAGAGGAUGGCGGCGGCGAGGAAGGCGGCCAGCUGGGCGCCGGGGAGCAGGCCGGCCGCGGCGCCGUCCAUGGUGCCUGUCGGCCCCAGGCUGCUGCCCAUCCCCGUGCUCGUGCCGUUGAACCCGGUGCCCACGCCGGGGCUCAGUGUGCCCGUCGUCGCGCCGCCCACGGUCGUGGUGCCCGCCGUCGUCCCGGAAGCACUGCAUGAUAGCAUCGAUCCAUCAACAAGAGAAAAGCACUUCAGUUUCCUUUUUGGCACGGAUACUGAAGCUAAUACAUGAGUAAUAGAAAGAACACAGCCUGUUCCCCCGAAAGAGAAUGGCCUUUGUUUCCGUUUCUCUUGACCACGCUUGAAUUAUAAUCUAAACGAAAAUUUUCUAACUUCUUACUUUUUGCUUCUUGUUGUUCAAAUUUCUGAAGCGGAUUACCGCAUAAGCGAGAAUUUAGAAAAAUAAGCAAAUCGUUUGGUGGAAUUCUCGCUUAUUUUCAUCGAUAAGCCGCUUAUAAGCGGAAACAAGCUACAAAUCCAGCAUGGCUUUCAGGAAAUCGACAAACAUGUGUGGUCGUUUGUAUCAGUGUAUGUUCAGUUGUCAUAGUCUGAUGAUUUUCUGUUGAGGAAAUCUAGGCUGUCAGACGAUUAUUGCACGACAAGCUGCAAAGCUUUCUCGUCGUUCUGUCCGUGUUGCUUCUAUUUUGUCUGCUAUACGUAAUACAGACACGACGCACAUGGGAGAAAGGCUGCCUAGCUCUUUUUAGUUGGGACGCAGCAAUCAACCUGAUGGUGGGAAGACAGUGGAUCCCUCCUUUUCAGAGAAUCGCUAGUAUGACAAAACCACAAGCCACAGGAAACACACAGGUAGAGCAUAAAAGCAUUUAUACUAGUUUGGAUUUCGUAUAGGCGUCAGGAAAGAAGCGAUUCAGCCGGCUUGCUCGAGACGAAUGCGUGUGGUCGGGUUCAAAUCGGUUGGGAAAGAUUUGGGAGGCAGCUUCAAGGCAAAGGGACAGGGGCAGGGAGCUGCAGAUGUCGCAACAAACCAACCAAUCGGUGAGGCUUGCGAUUGGUAAUUUGGUAUGCAAUGCAGACAAGCAGUAGACUGCCUGCUGUUUGCUUGCAAGUUAAUCACACCAGCUUCAUGUACAAAAUGCGGCGUAAACCCUGCUGCAUCUUGCUCCCAUUAGUAUUUAGUAGUAGCUUACUAGUGUCGGUGGACUACGCGUGAUUAGCAGGAGGCUGAGAUGCGUUAGGUGUUGGGCACACUGAUUGCCUAAGUUGCCUCUGAGAAUCUCAAUUUGACCAUAUUCCCCGGUGGUAGGGACUAGGGAGCACAUAAUGAGCACAGUUUAUUCUACAAGAAUCUCCCUGAAAAAAAAAAUCAAGUGCUGCUAUGAAGCUAUGCCGGAGGAGCAGAGGAGGGCAAUGCCGUACCUGGCACUCGAAGGGAAAGUGCAGCCGGAGAAACCUGAAAAAAAGACGCAUCAAAAUGGUGUUCAUCGAUCACUUUGUUACUGACAGAAAUGAGAAUGAGAUGGCAAAACUGUGUACUGGGGUCGGUGGUGGAGAUGGUGGCGGCGCCGUCGAAGUCGCAGGUGGCGCCCUUGGCCUUGUUGUUCUGGUAGUAGCUGUUGGCGGCCCAGGAGCAGUGCGCGGCGACGGUGUUGGGGUUGUAGCACCCGCCGCCCAGCAGGAUGGCCGAGCAGUCGGCGUUGCCCUGGGGCCCGCACGAGAAGUCGAUCGCCUUCUGCAGCACCGUCGUCGGCUGGUCCGACCGGCACACGCAGAACUCUGCCAAGCCAAGGAAAAUCCAUACGCAUGCGUCGUCAGGGGAAGAGAGGACAGAUGUUGGACUGUAUUUUAUUGGGAGCAUGAUCCCAGGGGGAAUGGAACAACGAUAGUGUCUUGAAAAUAGAAAUGCAACGAAAAGAAGGAUGCAAAAGCUCCAACAAGUAAAUCUAACACCAAAAACUACAUCAGGAAAGCACCCUGAAAAGAAAACAAAAGAAAAGGGAAGAGAGAAAGAAUGCGUGAUACCUGAGGCAGCGAGCGUGGAGGACAAGAGGAGCACGGCGGCCACAAGCGCUAACGCCACCUCCAUCGCGCAACCCACCGGAGAGGAAGAAGAAGAAGAAGCAGCAACAGCAGCAGAACGGAGCAAGAAAGGAAACC